AAUGGAUGUCCUUGUUCUGAUUUGAGGAUGCCUCCAAGGUCACAUACUCUGUUUGCACCACGCUUAGGAAGGAGCGUGAAGACCAAGGGAAGAUGAUAAACACAGAUCAUGGAGGACUGUUUUAUCUGUUUGUGAUCUGCCGUCCUCUGUGAGCCUCAGGAUGGAUGUUUGCCAGCCGAUUCCAUGGUUACAAGCUCUAUAGCUGCAUCUAUGUGUUAGGAGCAUGAAGACCAAUAAUGGAUGCACUGAGCUGAUUAUGAAUUUAGCCCUGAUGAAGACUUGUGUUGCUGUCAUGAUAUGAAAGAUUCCAGUAAUGAACGCACUUGAGUUGAUUCAAGCACGCUUCCAUGGUCAUGAGCUCUGUGGUUGCAUCUGUGUGUUAGGAGCAUGCAGACCAAUAGUGAUAAUCUCGAGGUGAUUUAUGCAUUCUUCCAUGGCCACCAGCCUUAUGAUUGCAUCUGUGCGUCACAGCUUAGAGAUCAAUAAUGGAUGCAACAAGCUCUUUGAAUCAUUCUGUUGGGAUCAAGAUUGUUGUGUUCCCUCUGUUUGGAAAGAGACCAAGAAUGGAUACGCUCAGGUGAUUUAAGCAGUCUUCCAUGGCCACGAGCUCUGUGGUUGCCUCUGUAUAUUAAGAGCACAGAGAUUAAAAAUGGGUGCACUUGAGCCGAUUGAAACAUUCCUCCUUGCAUCUUUCUUCUGUGAUUGCAUCUAUUUGUUAGUAGCAUAGAGACCAAUAAUAGAUGGCUUGUGCUGAUGGAAGGAUUCCUCCCUGGUGACAUGCUGUGUCUGCCUCUUGAUUGGGAGCACGCAGACCUACAAUGAUGCACUUUUUAUGAUUUGAGAAUUCCUUCAUGGUCACGUGCUCUGUUUUUAUCAUGGUUGGGAGCCUGCAGAGCAAUAAGGGACAUGCCUUUGCUGAUUUGAGGAUUCCUCUGAGGUUGGGAGCUAAGUUUGCAUCAUGCUUAGAAAGGAGUGUGCAGACCUGUAAUGAUUGCACUUUGCUGAUUGAAGGAUUCCUUCAAGUCCAUGUGCUCCACUUGCACCAUUUUUAGGAUGGAGCCUGGAGACCUAUAAUGAACAACUUGUGCUGUGUUAAGGAUUCCUCCAUGAUCACGCGCCCCAUUUGUACACCAUGCUUGGGAAGGUGCAUGCAGACCAAUAAUGGACGUACUUGUGAUGAUUUAAAGAUGCCUCCAAGGUCACGUGCUCUGUUUGCACCAUGCUUAGGAAGGAGCGUACAGACCAAAAAUGGAUGAAUUGUGCACCUUGAAAAGUUCUUCCAUGGUCACCUGAGGCAUCUGCGUCAUGAUUAGGCUCCGGAUGACUAAUAAUGGACGUACUUGUUCUGAUUUGAGGACUUCUUCAUGGUCACAUGUUCUGUUUGCACCAUGCUUAGGAAGGAGCAUGUGUACCAAUAAUGGAAGCACAGAAGCUGGUUUUAAUAGUUAAGAGCUGUAUGGUCCAUCUCUGUGCUAGAAGCUGGAGACCAAUAACAGUCACUCCCUGCACUGAUUCUGCCAUGACCACUUGCUCUAUGGUUGUUUUAAGGAACCUACAGACAAAUAAUGGAUUAUCAUUGGUGAAGAUCUUAGCUGUUCCAUAGAAGGAACACACUUAUCACUACAGUGAUUCUGUAAUGAUGAAGACCUUUAUGGGUCAGUGAUGGGUAGACCAGAGCUGAUUAAAUUAUUCUCCCAUUGAUGAGGAACUUUACCUUAUCCCUCAGAGUAAGGAGAAUGUCAUAUAAUGAAAGAUACUGAUCUCUGUUCUUGGUUAAGUUCCAAGAACCAUCUAAGUUUCGUGCCCCUCAGCUGUAAAAGGGAAGUACAUUUCAUUUGUUUAUUCUGUAAAACUCUCGGUGUGUGCCAUGGCCAUGCACUGAUGAUGAGCACAUGUGUGCGGCCCCUGCCCCCGUGGAGCGCAUGCAUGGUCCUCCAGCCAGAGACCGCGCUGGGAGAAAUCAGGGGUUCACUCCUGGUCGGAGGAGCAAUCCAUCAGUCAUCCUGCCCAGAGCUUGUGAAGGUGCAGUGGCCUGAGCCAGGCUUCCAAGAGGACAACCGUGAUGGGCUCUGUGUGCGUUGCUGGGAGGACUUUUCAAUGUGAUGGCAGCCUGGGGGAAGACAGUGUCACCACGACAGUGUCACGGAACAUGCAGGAGGACUUCCUGGACAUGAAGCUAGAUUCCGGCAGGGCCACUGGUGUCAGCAGCACUCCUGGAGGACACCCUGGGCUCUGGAAGAGAGACAGCACCCCAGAAGCCGGCCAGGAAUGGUUGGAGGGAGGCUAUUGGUGAUGUGUUCACUCUGUGUGUGGCAGAUACCCCACAGUGGACCUCCUAAAGCACUGAGUGCCUCCUUGAAGGACUUGCUGUACGUGGUGUGAAGUUCAGGAACACAGUGUGGGUGUCUGUCAGCCCCUCGCAGAGGGUAUGUGCGCAGAUGGUGGAACAGCUGGGCCUCGUGGAGGCAGCCCCGACCUGGGGGAAGUGGCCUUGCUCUGGCUGUCUGUCACACCAACAUGACCAGUCCUGCCGAUUGAAACUUUCUGGACACAAGCUUCAGUCUCUGGAAGAUUCUUGGGUGUCCUUCUCCCUCCAAG
ensembl:lncRNA MEG8 maternally expressed 8, small nucleolar RNA host gene